GGGGGGCUAUACAUGCAAGUCGAGCGGACAGAAGGGAGCUUGCUCCCGGAUGUUAGCGGCGGACGGGUGAGUAACACGUGGGUAACCUGCCUGUAAGACUGGGAUAACUCCGGGAAACCGGAGCUAAUACCGGAUAGUUCCUUGAACCGCAUGGUUCAAGGAUGAAAGACGGUUUCGGCUGUCACUUACAGAUGGACCCGCGGCGCAUUAGCUAGUUGGUGGGGUAAUGGCUCACCAAGGCGACGAUGCGUAGCCGACCUGAGAGGGUGAUCGGCCACACUGGGACUGAGACACGGCCCAGACUCCUACGGGAGGCAGCAGUAGGGAAUCUUCCGCAAUGGACGAAAGUCUGACGGAGCAACGCCGCGUGAGUGAUGAAGGUUUUCGGAUCGUAAAGCUCUGUUGUUAGGGAAGAACAAGUGCGAGAGUAACUGCUCGCACCUUGACGGUACCUAACCAGAAAGCCACGGCUAACUACGUGCCAGCAGCCGCGGUAAUACGUAGGUGGCAAGCGUUGUCCGGAAUUAUUGGGCGUAAAGGGCUCGCAGGCGGUUUCUUAAGUCUGAUGUGAAAGCCCCCGGCUCAACCGGGGAGGGUCAUUGGAAACUGGGAAACUUGAGUGCAGAAGAGGAGAGUGGAAUUCCACGUGUAGCGGUGAAAUGCGUAGAGAUGUGGAGGAACACCAGUGGCGAAGGCGACUCUCUGGUCUGUAACUGACGCUGAGGAGCGAAAGCGUGGGGAGCGAACAGGAUUAGAUACCCUGGUAGUCCACGCCGUAAACGAUGAGUGCUAAGUGUUAGGGGGUUUCCGCCCCUUAGUGCUGCAGCUAACGCAUUAAGCACUCCGCCUGGGGAGUACGGUCGCAAGACUGAAACUCAAAGGAAUUGACGGGGGCCCGCACAAGCGGUGGAGCAUGUGGUUUAAUUCGAAGCAACGCGAAGAACCUUACCAGGUCUUGACAUCCUCUGACAACCCUAGAGAUAGGGCUUUCCCUUCGGGGACAGAGUGACAGGUGGUGCAUGGUUGUCGUCAGCUCGUGUCGUGAGAUGUUGGGUUAAGUCCCGCAACGAGCGCAACCCUUGAUCUUAGUUGCCAGCAUUUAGUUGGGCACUCUAAGGUGACUGCCGGUGACAAACCGGAGGAAGGUGGGGAUGACGUCAAAUCAUCAUGCCCCUUAUGACCUGGGCUACCACGUGCUACAUGGACAAACAAAGGGCUGCCAAACCCCAGGUUUC
rnacentral:rRNA from 1 species